ACCCUUAGAACCGAGUUUGUGA
rnacentral:miRNA from 1 species